UGGGGAAUAUUGGACAAUGGGCGAAAGCCUGAUCCAGCCAUGCCGCGUGUGUGAAGAAGGCCCUCGGGUUGUAAAGCACUUUCAGUGGGGAAGAAAGCCUCGGGAUUAAUACUUCCGAGGAAGGACAUCACCCACAGAAGAAGCACCGGCUAACUCCGUGCCAGCAGCCGCGGUAAUACGGAGGGUGCGAGCGUUAAUCGGAAUUACUGGGCGUAAAGCGCGCGUAGGCGGUCUGAUCAGCCGGUUGUGAAAGCCCCGGGCUCAACCUGGGAACGGCAUCCGGAACUGUCAGGCUAGAGUGCAGGAGAGGAAGGUAGAAUUCCCGGUGUAGCGGUGAAAUGCGUAGAGAUCGGGAGGAAUACCAGUGGCGAAGGCGGCCUUCUGGACUGACA
rnacentral:rRNA from 1 species